GAAAUCAUGCUAAUUAAUUUGGAAAAUAAAAUUUUAAUGGUGCAGUUGGUUAAAAUAAAAGACCAUGGAUACAAUGCAUUUUUUCUAAUUAGUUCGGGGGAUAAUUCUGUAUAGUGCCUACUUUUGCGAGUCUUUGGUGAGAAGUUAUGCUGUUUGAUGUACUUCCUUUUUUUCUGUUGACACUUUGAUAUCAAUGACUAUGAAUCCUAGCAAUUGCAUGCUAGGAAAGCUAGUGCAAUGCUAGGCUCU
rnacentral:misc_RNA from 1 species